rnacentral:rRNA from 1 species
AUAUCGCGAGGUGCCAGCAGCCGCGGUAAUACGUAGGGUGCAAGCGUUAAUCGGAAUUACUGGGCGUAAAGCGUGCGCAGGCGGUUUUGUAAGUUUGUCGUGAAAUCCCCGGGCUCAACCUGGGAAUGGCGAUGAAGACUGCAAGGCUAGAGUUUGGCAGAGGGGGGUAGAAUUCCACGUGUAGCAGUGAAAUGCGUAGAUAUGUGGAGGAACACCGAUGGCGAAGGCAGCCCCCUGGGUCAAAACUGACGCUCAUGCACGAAAGCGUGGGGAGCAAACAGGAUUAGAUACCCUGGUAGUCCACGCCCUAAACGAUGUCUACUAGUUGUCGGGGUCUUAAUUGACUUGGUAACGCAGCUAACGCGUGAAGUAGACCGCCUGGGGA